rnacentral:misc_RNA from 1 species
AAAACAGACCCAAAUAUAAACUCAAAUAUAAAUUUCUAUUGUUUCUUUCAUAACGGAUAUGUACAUCACCUAUGUUCAAAGCGCAAGAUACACACGUUCACCUCCUUCCAGAUUCCAAUUCAUCCAACGAUGUAAAUUCAUUGCCGUUUUGCCGGAGUUGUAAACUCACGACUUCUACAUCCAUGGCCUGCAUAUUGAGUGCAUUUGCAGUCUGCCCUGCAUUUGUAUUAGAAUGUGACUCCUCAAGUGCCUGAAAAUACGCAUAAGGCCCCCACCCUUCUUCACUAUAUGGGGGUGGGAAAAACUGCAUAUAGCAAAA